UGGCAAGCUGGAGCACGCGGAGUCUGUUGCGCACGCCCAGGGCUCCAGGUUCCGACCCGAAGGAAAACCUUUUAGCGCCAAGGAGGCUAUGAGUCCCGGCGGUCCGCGGCCUUCUUCCCGGAAGCGGAAGCUCAGGGGGCGGGACAAGGGAGGUCCGGACAUCUCGGCGGUUAAUUCUUUUUUUCUCAAGUAUUCGUUUCCCUACGCCUGGGCUCUUCUGAGGCUGAGAGAAAUGGUCAGGUCCGGAUCUCGACCGGGCCAGGUGAUAUCUUCAGGAAGGCAACCUGGAGCUAAGUUACCAAAUGGAAAGAAAGGGACCCACGUAAGAAAAAUAGCACAUUUUAAUGUAGACUCCGCCUGUCCUGUUCAAUCUGAUUCAGAAAGUCAGACGGACACUCUCCAGGGACUUGACGGUUGUGCUUCUUUGCUGCGGGACAUUUUGAAAAAUGAAGAUUCAGGCUCAGAAAUGGUAUAUUCGGAAAACAGAUGCAAUUCUAAACCUUUAGAAGGCAGAAAGAACAGAUCUAAAAAGAAAGGGCCUGAAAAACAUGUUCCUUCAGUGGUCCGAAAGGAAAUAUUAUCAUCAGAAAAUAGGAAAUGGAUAUCUAAUGAAGCUUCUACUGGGAGUGACACAGCACAGCGUUGGUCACUACAAGAUCAUUAUAGAAUGUACUCACCGAUAAUAUACCAAGCCCUCUGUGAGCAUGUGCAGACUCAAAUGUCACUGAUGAAUAGCUUGGCUUUAAAAAAUGGCCCCAAUGGAAUACAUGCUGUGUGCCAUACCAUGUCUAAUUCAGGCUCUCAGGCAACACCACAUUCUGGUUUUGGCUGUUCUCCUUCCGCUUCUGUCUGGCCACCUCAGCAGCCAUCCUGCCCCCUAAUGGUCCACUCUGAAGUUCAGACUGAUGCUGAUAACCAGUUUGAAUCACAAAGUCAAGCGACCUCUGUGAAGUACGGUGAUGUUCCCAGGGAUCCGUUUAGUGUCCAUCCUGGAGUUGCAUGUGGCCUUCCCCACGCUGACAGUCCAGCUGUUGCAAAGAGUCGGCAGCUGGAUCUUACGAGUUGUAUUCUGCCCCAACAGAGAGCUCCCAAGGAAGCAGAGUUACUAAAGUGCUUCCAAACACACACGUCUCUGUUUCCAGCUCACGGGAAGGACGCUCUCUCGGACAGUCAGGCAUACCAAAGUCCCUCUCAGUUACAGCCAGCCUUCUUGGCCACUAAUGAAGAAAAAUGUGCCAAAGAACAAUUUGAAGAGGCCACAAAUGAAGGAAAGCAUUUAAGCACACAUGUGCAAGAUGCAAAAAUAGCCAAGAAUGUGCAGCAGGCAGAAAAUGUAAGCCAGACUGCUGAAAAAAUCAGACUUGCCAAGUGCUUGUUGGGAGAGCUCAAGGCCCUGAUGGAAGAGGACUCCGAAGUUCAGAGGUUGGUGACAGAAGUAGAGGCGUGCGUAUCUGGACUUUCAGCAGUGAGCGGCCACCCAAAUGUGGAAGUUGAAAUAGCCCUGGCCCUGCAGCCCCUGAGAAGUGAGAACGCUCAGCUGCGGAGGCAACUGAGAAUUUUGAAUCAACGCCUCCGAGAACAAGAGAAAACCGAAAAGGGACCUGGUAACCUUGAAUUGGGAGUCUUACUGUGUUGCUCAGGCUACUCUUGGACUUGGAGGCUCAAUUGAUCUCCCCUCCUUGCUCACCUCAGUCGCUGCAGCUACAGGUGAAUAUCACAUCAUCUUUAUGGACCACAGAGCUUUGUAGAGAAAAACAGGAGUCAAAGAACAGAUGAGGUCUCUUUUCAAUAUUCUCAGUGGAUUUUCUCGAGUCUAAUGUAAAUGUGAUGUUAUAAAGAAGUGGGAAGAAAAUUCGAGCAACCAACGAGCAAACACUUUACAAAGUGCUUAACUUCACCCGAGUAGUCUGCGAUAGUUCUUUCUGGUUCUGCUCUCAGUAAAUGGUGUGGGUAAGACGAAGGCCAGAGGGGAGGCCCUUUAUGAGUGCUUCUCUAAGCGUAUUCUUUGUACUCAUUUACCUUAGUGCACUUUUUAUUACUGUUUACAAUAAUUUGUUUACUAACAGCUCCUUGAGGGACCUUGGGGUCUGUCUUAGUCAGGGUUUCUAUUCCUGCACAAACAUCAUGACUUAUAAGCAAGUUGGGGAGGAAAGGGUUUAUUCGGCUUACACUUCCAUACUGCUGUUCAUCACCAAAGGAAGUCAGGACUGGAACUCAAGCAGGUCAGGAAGCAGGAACUGAUGCAGAGGCCAUGGAGGGAUGUUCUUUACUGACUUGCUUCCCCUGGCUUGCUAAGCCUGCUUUCUUAUAGAACCCAAGACUGCCAGCCCAGAGAUGGUCCCACCCACAAGGAGCCUUUCCCCCCUUGAUCACUAAUUGAGAAAAUGCCUUACAGUUGUAUCUCAUGGAGGCAUUUCCUCAACUGAAGCUCUUUCUCUGUGAUAACUCCAGCUGUGUCAAGUUGACACAAAACCAGCCAGUACAGGGUCUAUGUUGUUCACUGCAGCAUAUCCAGAUUCUAAUAGUAAUUCAUACACAGUAAGCAGUCACUUAAGACUGCGAAAGCCAAUCAAAAUGGUGCCCUGUGCCUUUAUGUUAUUUUAUUUACUCUUUAAGAAUUUCAUGCAUAUACACAGUGCCUUUUCAUCAUAUCCACCUCUCAUGCUGCAUUCUGACUCUUCAGCAGGCACCAGGCACAGCCCCUGCCCUCCCCUAGCCCAGCCUCUGUCCUCCCCCAGCAGGCAUCUUAGCACAGUCCCUGCCCAGCUUCAUGACCUCUGUCUUUUAAACCCACUGAGUUCAGUUGUGUUAUUCCCAAGUGCAUGGCUGUCCCCUGGAGUAUGGGCAACCUACCAUUGACAUCUCCCCACCCCCCAACCAAAUGACUCAUCCCUCAUGAUCCUUCAACUGUAAAUAGCUCCUCCAUUGGGGGUAGGGUCUCCAUGUCCCUCAACUCUUCAGAGCAGAGUUUUGACUGGUUUGAUCUUGUAUGAUCACCAUAGCUACCAUGAGUUUAUGAGUGGCAUGACCAGGCUGUGUCCAGAAGACAGCACUCGGGCACUCCUCCCCAUCAUCCAGCCUGGGGAGGACUGUGAUGGAGAUGUCCCAUUUAUGGCCCAGCAUUCCCAGUCAGCUGCUCCCAGUACUCAGGGCAGGCAGCAGUCUCUGCAUCAGAUGCCUCCCACUGUAAAAACAGCCUUCUCUGCCCAAGACCAAGAACACCACAGAUCUGUAAGUACAAACAUGAAUAUUUAGAGGAGAGUUAGACAGUAUAACCAUUUAGCAAAACAACAGUGAGGUCCCCUGGAGCCUGUGACCUCUCCAGUCAUAAGGUUUACAGUAUGAAUUCCCUCCUGUGCAGCAGGCCUCAGAUCCAGUCGGAAAGUUUGGCACUAUUUAAUGGGCACAUCUUGCCUAGCAGGUUAGUAUUGUAGCAUGCUGGGUCUUCUAGAUACAAGGAUUUGUGUCUCCUCCCCUACGCCGCUAAUAUGCAGUCUGCAUAGCUUCUUCCAGCACUAUGAAACCUAGGUAGGAAGGUUCCUGGUCAGCUCUAGAUUGGUUUCUCUACAUUUCGCAACCAACGUGUCUUUAGCAGGAGGCUCUUACCAUCCUUUUAUGGUAGACAACCAAAAGCAAUGGCAGGAGCCUCUUGUUGGGGGCUUUGAGGGCCUCCCUGACCAAUAACUUACAGGAAGGUAUUUCAUGUUCUGCACUGAGAUUUUCAUUUAAUAACCAAUGUCUUCUGGGAGUAGCUUUGUCUACCUGUGCAGGCUACCUCUGGUCAAAGUCCUCUUUUAAGAAAUAUAUAUUUUAAAAUUUGUUGACAUAGGAUUGGGUUUCCAUGUUUUUACUUUCACUCUUAGUUUUGAGUAACCCACUCUGACACUCACCUCUUUCACAUAACCCUGUCCCUGCUUAACCCUGUAACCGCCAAUAUUCUUUCCCUCUUCUUUAUACCACACAAUUCUACUAUCCCUCCCUCUGUUCCUAUUCCAUUUACCUCUUCGUGGGCACUUCCUCCUCCCUGAGCUCCACAGACCCACCAAGUUGAACAUAAAAUCUAUAAUUUGAAUCUAGGAUCCACAUGUGAAACAGAAGCAUGCAGCACUUGCCUCUUGUGGGGCCUGGACAUAUCUUGUGUAUUUUUACCACAAUUUCAUUAUGCAUCAGUUGGUGGACAAGAGUGUCUCUGUAGGAGAGUAAUGGAAUCCUUUGGGUAUCCUCAGAUGUAGGUCAGAGGGUGAUUCUGUUUUUCCCUUUUGGAGAGAUCUAUACUGAUUUCCAUAGUGGGGGAUACUUCAACACUGAGUAAAUGUUUCUGGUUCUCUAAAUCCUAGGCUAGCAGUUGCUGUCAUUGUUUCCUUGAUGAUAGUCCUUCUGACUGGAGUAAUGUAGAAUCUCAGACUAGUUGGAUUUGCAUUUCCCUGCUGGCUAAUGAUGUUGAGCACUUUGAAAACCAUUUCUUAGCCAUUUGUGUUUCUUCUUUUGAAAACUCUGUUUAAGUCCAUAACCUGUUUUUUAUUGGAUUGUUUAUUUUCUUAGUGUUUAUUUUCUUGAACUCUUUGUAUAUUUUGGAUAUUAAUCCUUUGUUAGAGAUAUAGCUGACAAAGAUUUUCUUCCAUACUGUUGUCUGGCUUUUCACUUGAUUGACAGUUUCCUUGGCUGUAUAGAAGCUUUUUAAUUUCAUGAGUACCUAUUUGUCAGUCAUUGGCUUCUGGCCUCCUUUGCUUUCUGAUGCUGUCAUAAAACACCAUGACAUAAACCAACUUGAGGAAGAAAAGGAUUGAACUGGCUUAUACUUCCAUGUCACAGUUUGUCAUUGAGGGAGAGUCAAGGCAGAAACUCAAGGUAGGAGCCUGGAGGCAGGAACUGAUACAGGAAGGAGUGCUCUUAUAUGGAUUGCUCACCUUGCUUUUUUUUUUUAUGUAACCCAGGACCACUUUGCCCGGGGAUGGCACCUCCCACAGUGGACUGGGCCUUCCCACAUCAAUCAUAAGUCAAGAAAAUGCCCAUAGGCCAAUCUGAUAGAAGUAAUUCCUUAAUUGAGGUGUUUUUUGUUUUGUUUUUAAUCCUAGAUGACUCUGGUUUGUGACAGGUUUACAAAAACAAAAAACAAAAAACAAACAAAAAGACCCAAGCCAGCCUUAUUUAUUUCCUGAAUGACUAUGGCCCCAUUCAGAAAGUCCUUCCCUAUUCCAGUAUCUUGAUGUAUAUACCUUAUUUUUUCCACUAGCAGUUUCAGUGUUUCAGGCUUUAUGUUGAGUUCUUUGAAUCAUUUGGAAGUGAGUUUUUGCAGGGUGAGAGAUAAGGAUCUAGUUUUAUCCUUCUACUUGUAGACGGUUUUACCAGCGCCAUCUGUUGGAGGUGAUCUUUUCCAGUGUGUAAUGCUGGCCGGUGUCUAUUGUGGAAUGGCUUGGUAUCUGGGUCUUCUCUUCUAUUCCAUUGAUCUCUGCGUCUCUUUGUUUGGUUAUCUGGAAUCUUUUGUACGUCCAUAUGAAUUUUAAAAUACAUAGUUUUUACUAUUGAUAUAAAAAAUGUCAUUGGAAGUGUUUAAUAAAUUGUGUGUGUGUGUGUGUGUGUGUGUGUGUGUGUGUGUGUGUGUGUGUGUGUGGUUUGCCUGCAUGGAUGCAUCAUAUACAUGCCUGGUACCCAAAGAGGCCAGAAGAAGGCAUUGGAUUCCCAGGGACUGGAGGCAGAGGCUGAAGCAGAGACUAUGGAAAAAUGCUCUUGCACUUGAGCUACCAUGUAGAUACUGGUUUGGUCUUAAAGGUUAAGCUAUCUCUCCAACCCCUAAAAUCUCAUUUAAGUUGUUAUUUUGUGUGUUGUGUUUGUGUAUGUAUGUAGACAUGCCCUUGCCAUGAUAUACAGUUGAAGGCAGAGGACAGCUUGUGAAAAUCAUUUCCUUUAUUUCACCAUGUAAGUCUAAGGAUUCAAUUCAAGUCAUCAGGUGUGGUAGGGUGUGCCUUUGUCUGCUGGGCCAUCUUGCCUGCCCACAGUGAAUAUGGAUUGCAUUAAGUCUGUAAAUAGCCUUUGGUAGGAUGGCCAUGUUUACAACGUUGAUCCUAUCACCUCUUAAGCAUGGGAGGUCUUUCCAUUUCUAGUGUCUUCCUUAAUUUCCUAAUUGUAUAGUUUAAAGGUUUAGCUAUAGAGAGCUUUCACAGCCUUGGCUAGGGUUAUUCUGUUUUGUUUUAUUUGGGAUUUUGGGGUUUUGUAGCUAUUGUGAAUGGGAUCGUUCCCUUGGUUUCUUUCUCAGUGUAUUUGUUAUUGGGUGUAAGAAGUCUCCUGGUCAUUUUGUAUGUUAAUCUUGUAUUCAGCCACUUCCUGACUGUGUUUUCAAUUCAGAGUUUUCUGGUGGAGUGUAUAGGAUCUGUUAUAUUAGAAACAUAUUAUCUGCAAAUAGAGGUCCUUUGACGUCUUACUUUCCUAUUUGUAGUCCCUGUAUUUGCUUCUCUUGUCUAAGACCUUCAGUAUUGUAUUAAAUCAAACUGGAGAGAAUGGAUACCCUUUUCUUGGUCCUUGUUUGAGUGGAAAUUCUUUGAACUUUCCCCUAUUUGAUAUGUUGGCUAUAGGUUUGUCAUAUAUGGCCUAUAUUAUGCUAAGGUCGGGAGCUAAGCCAAGAGUGACCCCAGGCAAAGGAACCAGCAUGUUUUACAUUUACACACAACAUGGGAUAGUAUGAUUCUUUGUGUUUAAAUAUAUAUUUUGUGUAAAUCAUUGUCUACAUUACAUUAGUAUUUUCCAGAAAAGUAACCAAAAUGAUAGUGAUUGAUUGGUUGGAGAGCGAGCGUGGAGAAAGGGAGGCAUCACUGAGAAGUUUUUGGCGUCUUUGGAAAUUUUUUGGAGUUUAAGAUAUUUACAUUACACAUAUAUUACUCAUUUGUUUUAUAAGGUAAAAACAAUUUAUGACUAAAACAUCAACUGGGAAAGAAAGGCAUUACUUCUGCUGCUUACUUUUUUAAAUAUAUAUAGUAUUUCUAUUGCAUUGUGCAUGUUACCACUUAGGGAAUCAGUGAACUCAGGGUAUUUUCUUUUUCUAAAAGACGCAUUUUUAGGUGUUUUUUAAAAAUUGGGAAACAACUAUUUGAUGUGUUUUAUCUUACAGUGUUUUCCCUUCAGUCGCUGAAUAUGUCGCUGCAGAAUCAGCUGCAAGAGUCGCUGAAGAGCCAGGAGUUACUACAGAGUAAAAAUGAAGAGCUCUUAAAAGUGAUAGAAAACCAGAAAGAGGAAAACAAAAAAUUCACCACUUUAUUUAAAGACAAAGAGCAGACUCUGCUUCAUAAUAAACAGCAGUUUGACAUUGAGAUGACCAGGGUGAAGAUGGGUGUGUAUCUGUCUCUAGCCACAGUCGUUUGGUUUUGAGCAAUAAGGAAGCUAAGCAGGUUUUGUUGUGUUUGCUUUAGAGUUGGAGGAAGCCUUGGCCAAUGAGAAGAACUUGCGGUUUAAGCUAGAGACUGCAGAAAAGGAAAGUCAGAUACUGGGAAUAACACUGCGCCAGCGAGAUGCUGAGGUUGCACGACUUAGAGAAUUAACCAGAACUUUACAGAGCAGCAUGGCCAAGCUGCUCUCUGAUCUCAGUAUGGACACUGCGCGCUGCAGGAUGGGGAAUAGCCUCACCAAAUCACUUCUCAAUGUCUAUGAUCAACAACUUCAACAGGACCCAGCCCCUGCUCAGACUUCCAUAAUGAGCUACCUCAAUAAAUUAGAAACAAAUCACAGCUUUAUACAUUCAAAGCUGCUUAACAAUGAGGCAGCCAUAGAGCCAGACAGACUCUGUGAAAGUGUGCUGCCCCCACAAAGGCCUCCCCAUAGUGAUGCGGGGACAGCAGAUGGGGGCUCUGCAUCUGGAACUGUCUCUGCUGCUUCAGUGGAGGAUUCCGAUAUGGACUGUGAAACCCUCACUGUAAUAGAAGAUGGGUGUAACGUGGACAGUACAGUUUAUAUCCCCUUUGCAAGAAACACUUCUAAAAAGCACUCGCCACUUUGUAAGAGACUAUCCCCCCAGCCAAAGCUGAGUGUUGCUGCAGCACAGCUAGUCAGUGGCAGUGCACAGACCUCUAAAGGAGAAAGUAAGCCACGUGCACCUGCAGUUUGUUCCUCACGAAAUGAAGCAGAAGAUGCACCCGGAGAUCUUUCCAGCACGUAUGACACAGAGGACGUGCAGCUCCUCAGGAAAAUCAAAGAAGCAAUUGGUAAGAUCCCUGCUGCUGCUGAGCACGCAAAGGAACAGGCCACACAUCAUGGCCCAUCAGCUCAUCCCAGCCCCGGCGUUCCAGUGAAGGGCAGUAUUGUUCCUGACAGCAGCUUUCUCAAUUCUGACUUGAUGUCAGACUGGAGCAUCUCCUCUUUCUCAACGUUCACGUCUCAUGAUGAACAGGACUUCAGAAACGGCCUGGCAGCACUGGAUGCCAAUAUUGCUCGACUUCAGAAGUCCUUAAAGACCGGCCUUCUGGAGAAAUGAGUCUGGGAGAGACUGACGGAGUGCUUUUCUUAAAGAGUAGAACUUGUUCAUAGUGUAUUUUGGGUUCCCCUAGAGAGAACACUUUUUAUUAUUAAUUAUGUAUGAAAUAAUAAAUGGAGUAAAUUUACUGUUAGAAUAUUUUAACACCUGAAGGUUAUAAAAAAAUUCUUUUAAAAACCAACAGUUGCUGAGAGAAGAAAGUUGUAGAUGAGCAAGUACUGUGGUGCGUUAUUUGACAGCUUGAGUUUCACAGAGAGUUCCUCACUGUGCGACUGCUGGGUCACUGGUGCAGGUACCGAGGAUUUCUGGCUGGCUGGAAGGAGAAUAGGAAAGGAGUCAGUACUGUUUAAAGUUUCCUCUCUGCUUUGGAAUAUUUGUGUGUUUCAUGAUAGUGUGCUUGUGUAUGGGAAUACUCUGUGUUACAAGCUAGGGCUGUCGAUGGCCUGCAUUAACAUUUCAGAGAGAAAAGAUGCUGGUGUACCUACCUCAUACAAAGCAUUGAUUUGUCCAGGGAAAUACCGAUGAUUGGUUAAUAUAUGGUCCUUAAAUCUUGGGCAUUUUAUUUAUAUUUGUCUUGAAUGCAUGUUUUAAGACCUUUAAAAAUAAAGUCAGACUGAUAAGAUAAUGCUAAAUAACCAAGUUUUACCUUAGUAAUUUUGGGUUUUGAUUUUUUGUUUUUGUUUUUUAGUAAGAAUUAUUGGGUUUUCCUUAAUGUCUUUGGAAAUGAUGGAGUUUUGCAAAUCUCAGCACUGGGGGUAACUCUGCCUUUCUGACCCAAUUUUCCCCCAUCAUUUAGCUGAGAACGUUGUUCUAUAAUUAACAUGGACUAUGUUGCCCUCUCUGCUUCCUAAUACUAGCCCUUUGUCCUGUCUUGCCAUAUAGCCCAAGAUGACUUCAGACAUUAGAUCUUCCUCCCUCAGGCUCCUGAGUGCAAGCCCCAGCAGUUCUCAUUCACCUGCUGUCACAGCUUUCUGUUGAACACCAAGUCCUGCCCUGUCAGUAACUCUUGGUACAUGUUACCUGCCUGGUGUAGUUGAAUUUGGUUCUUGGACAGCCUCUGGCAUUCGAGUAGUCUGCUGGUUCCAAAUUUUCUCCUGCUUCUACAACCUCUGGAGGACCCUGCUAGACUACUUAAUAUUUCUUAGACUUUAUGGGGAGGGGUCUUUUUUGUUUGUUCUACGUCUAAAUGUAUUAAAAUGAAUUGUAAACUAUUUUAAAGAUUUAUUCAUUAACAUUUUAAAUAUACUUCCUUCCAGUAUUCAUACGUGAA